GGAAUAUUUCGUAUAGUUCUCGUCGACUGUCGUCUGACAUUUGUUCUUCUAUUCUGAAACGCUGCAUUGAAAUACAAAAAUAAUACAAACUAGAAUAUUCAACAAAACAAAAAACCAAGGAAACGAAAAACCAAUUAAAAUUUUAACAAAAUAAUAACUCGCUUCAAAAUAUAUUGCAAAUAUAUCAACAAAUUUAAUCAAAUCAAAUUCACCAACAAAUCGAAAACAAACUCUAUAAAUUCGUUUACUCAAAAACCCAAAAACACAAAACAACCAAAAACCGAUUCAAAUAUAUAACUGUUAAAUCUAAACGAGCAGGCGAUCUACUGGGAAGCGAGAGAGGAAGGGCAUCAGCAGCAGCACUACUACACGCGUGUGUGUUUAAAUACUGGAAAAUACAGAUAAGAUAAAUUAUUAUAGACACUCACGAGUACAUUUAGAGCAGACCAAACCCAGAGACAGACAACCGCAGAGAAUCAAAAGCACUCCAAGAGCAAAUCAAUAAAACAAAAACAAAACCCAAACAACAAAAAAAACAACAACAGAAACAACAGAAACAAAGAGAAAAAGCAACUCAAAAAAAAAAAUUUUAAAAAAAGUGUUACCAAAAAACCUUCAAAAAAAAAAAAAAAUUAUUUAAAAGACAAAACCCGUACUCGUAACGGUGCAGACAACUGAAAAUACCCAGUGAAAAUUCAGAAAAGCGUUGACCAUUUUUUCUCGCAAAGGCGCCACGUCCAAGAGCAAAUCGUUCCAUAUGGUUCAUAUUAUUGAAUUGGUCGGCCAGCCGAAGGUUGAGUUUGCUCAACAAGUUACUAUGAACCGUGCUUUACAGCUGAAGCCAGCUGAAAAUGAAAGUCGCAGCGCAAACUUCGUGACAAGCUGGAAAAUGGCAGCAUUCAACUAAACACAACAGCCGAUACGAUACCGCUUUCCGAGAAGAUGGUCGAUGACAGGGCUAGGAGAGUCGACCCCGCAGUAACUAAUAAAUUAACCAAGUGAUUGAAUAGAGUCAAGAGGAGAGAUCAGUGAGGAGUUGAGUCAAUAAGUUGAGCUCUAAAAGCAUCAAAGUUUUUACUGAUAUCAACGUAGUGCAAACCGUAGGCAAACGAUCAUUACCACACCUACCUGUAGUUCAAAAAGACAGAGCUUUGACCUCUCAAAUCCUUCAGUUUAAGCCGGCAAAGUGCGGACCUCUAGCACGACAGCAGGGCGAAAAAGCUAAACGCAUUUAAUAUUUAAAAAUAGAGACAUAAAACACUACAAAGGGUAGAGAUUCAAGAGCAAAAACCAGACUAAAACCAGACCCAACAAAAAGCUGCGCAUUCGUCAAAUUCGGAACGCAACAGGAGGCUCAGUCAGCAAUAGCCAAUCUACACGGAAGUCAAACUAUGCCGGGUGCAUCCUCCAGCCUGGUCGUCAAAUACGCCGACACAGAGAAGGAACGACAAAUCAGGCGCAUGCAACAAAUGGCCGGUCAUAUGAACCUGCUGAAUCCGUUUGUCUUUAAUCAGUUCAGCCCGUACGGCGCCUACGCUCAGCAACAGCAGCAAGCCGCUCUGAUGGCUGCCGCUGCCACCGCGCCUGGCUCGGCAGCCGCCUACAUGAACCCCAUGGCCGCCCUGGCAACGCAAAUACCUCAUGGCUUGAACGGCACCGGACAGCCGCCCUCUUUGCCCUCGCCGACCAUGCCCAACUUCAGCAUGGGCGCCAACACGCCCAACGGCCAGCCCGGCGGAGCUGCCGCGGCUGCAGCAGCUGCUGCGGCGGACGGGGUCUUCACGAACGGCAUUCCACAAACGGCAUUCCCAGGACAUCCGCUGCAUUUGACUAUACCACCACAAGGUCUGCCAAACGGCGAUGCUGCUACUCUGCAACAUGCCUUCCCUGGGCUGCCACCGUUUCCAGGAGUUGCCUUCCCCGCCGUCUAUGGACAGUUUCCACAAGCUUUACCACCUCCCCUAGCGGCGGUUGCACCCACUCAGCGUGAAGAUUUUCUGAUGUUCCCAGGAUGCUCGAUAUCCGGUCCAGAGGGCUGCAAUCUCUUCAUCUACCAUUUGCCCCAAGAGUUUGGCGAUGCGGAGUUAAUGCAAAUGUUCCUGCCCUUUGGCAAUGUGAUCAGCUCCAAGGUCUUCAUCGAUCGUGCUACAAACCAGAGCAAAUGCUUCGGUUUCGUGUCCUUCGAUAAUCCAGCCAGCGCUCAAGCGGCCAUUCAGGCCAUGAAUGGCUUCCAGAUUGGCAUGAAAAGACUGAAAGUUCAAUUGAAGCGGCCAAAGGAUGCCAGUCGACCCUAUUAACAAUCGGAGUUCCUUAAGUGUAAUUCGCAACAACUACAACUACUUCCUGGAGCACCAACAACAGGAGUAGUCGCAGGAGCAGCCAUGCCACAAACUACAACACAAUUUGCAACAGCAGCAGCAGCAACAGCAUCCACAGCAACAGCCACAGCAACAACCACAGUGCACCACUAUAGUCACAGAAGCAGCUUUAGGCCACCAUUUCCCACUGACAACUCCCCUCAUAUGCCGUAUCAAUUCGCCAGCUGGCGAAAUGGUACCUACUGCUAUCGCUAUAGUACCCCCAGAAACAUCUCCCCCAGCCCCAAAAGCAACAACAACAGCAACAUCAGCAAUACCAACAACUGCAGCAAGGACAACAACAACAGCACCAACAACACCACCAGCAGCAGCACCACCACCAACAACAAUAGCAGCAACUGCAGCAGCAGAAUGGACGAUUCCCAUCCACAUCCAACUCAACCGGACAUGGCAUCCAAUAGCAACCAGAAGAACCUAUCCAAAGUGGAACUAGUCGAAAAACUGUUCAAGUGGCAGCAACAAAAGCGAAAGACCUAAAGCCACCAGGACCCACAACAGCAACCAUGACAACUGCGACAACAAUAACGAGCGACUACUGAAAGGAUGGUCUUCACCAUGCUAAGUGAAAAUGAUUAUAAAAAUUAAACACAUGCAAAAGCG